rnacentral:sRNA from 1 species
GGGAUUAGCUUCAAUGAAGAUCAGCAAAAGGAAAAGGAUCAGCUUGGCAAAGCCCCCAAGAAGGAAGAAGCAGCUGCCCUCCGCAAAGACAUUUCUGGUUCAGACAAGAGGUCACUGGAGAAGAACCAAAUUAAUUUCUGGAGGAAUCAAAUGACCAAGAGAUGGGAACCAAGCUUAAACUGGAAGACCACUGUUAAUUACAAAGACAAAGGCUUAGCAAAAGAAAUCCAAGAGGACAAACGCACAGGAAAACUUGAAAAACCAAGACCAUCUGUUUCACACGGAAGAGCACAAUUACUUCGGAAGAGUGCUGAAAAGAUUGAGGAAAUUGUUAGUGAUAGCUCCUCAGAAAGUGAGGAAGAUGAAGAACCACCUGACCAUCGUCAGGAAGCAAGUGCAGAUUUGCCAUCAGAAUAUUGGCAAAUUCAGAAGCUGGUGAAAUAUUUAAAG